rnacentral:rRNA from 1 species
ACAAGUACCGUGAGGGAAAGUUGAAAAGAACUUAGAGGUGAGAGUUCAACAGGGCGUAAAACCGCUUAGAAGUAAACGGAUGGUGCUGACAUUAGUGCAUCGGAUUCAGCUGGUGUGAUGGCUCCCGUGUCGAGGUGUGAUCGCAAGACGCCCUUGGCCUGUUUCUCGAGCCUAGCACUGGUGCAUUUCUGGUGUACUGCACUGUGACCGUUAGUUCCGCUGGCAAACGGCCGGUCGGUAGAAGACUGUGGGCUUUCGGGCUUGCAGUGACUUACCUUCCGUGUCUAGUCCUUGUUGGGAUUAACGGAUAACCUCUGAGCCCGGCUUGCUCGUCUGGUGUAAUUAGUUGGCCGCAUGAAUGGCUGUUACGUGCUUGCACGUCUCAGCAACCCGCGGUCAGCUUUGCUGCUCCGUUCGAGAUUGGCUCAUAAGGUCUACGGUGUCCGCGUCAGUCUCCCAUCCGACCCGUCUUGAAACACGGACCAAGGAGUCUAACAUGUGCGCAAGUCAUUGGGUGGAAAACCUAAAGGCGAAAUGAAAGUAAAGGUCGCUUACGCGGCUGAGGUGUGAUGUCUGGCUUGACUGGACCGCAACACCGUCCCAUCGCAUCGGCUUGUCCGAGCGGUGGCGAUAGAGCGUACAUGUUGGGACCCGAAAGAUGGUGAACUAUGCCUGAGCAGGAUGAAGCCAGAGGAAACUCUGGUGGAGGUCCGUAGCGGUUCUGACGUGCAAAUCGAUCGUCAGACUUGGGUAUAGGGGCGAAAGACUAAUCGAACCAUCUAGUAGCUGGUUCCUUCCGA